AUUGCCUACGGGGCGCAGCAGUGGGGAAUAUUGCGCAAUGGGGGAAACCCUGAUGCAGCAACGCCGCGUGAGUGAUGACGGCCUUCGGGUUGUAAAGCUCUGUCUUCAGGGACGAUAAUGACGGUACCUGAGGAGGAAGCCACGGCUAACUACGUGCCAGCAGCCGCGGUAAUACGUAGGGAGCGAGCGUUGUCCGGAAUUACUGGGUGUAAAGGGAGCGUAGGCGGGGAUGCAAGUUGGGUGUCAAAACUACCGGCUCAACUGGUAGUCGCACUCAAAACUGCAGCUCCUGAGU
rnacentral:rRNA from 1 species